rnacentral:rRNA from 1 species
GAUGAACGCUGGCGGCGUGCCUAAUACAUGCAAGUCGAGCGAAGCGGGGACGGGUGAGUAACACGUGGAUAACCUCCUAUAAGACUGGGAUAACUUCGGGAAACCGGAGCUAAACCGCAUACUUAUAGAUGGAUCCGCUCUUCAUUAGCUAGUUGGUAAGGUAACGUGUUACAAAGGCAACGAUGCAUAGCCGACCUGAGAGGGUAAUAGGCAAAACUUGAACGGAGAAACGGUACAGAAGCCAACGGGAGGCAGAGGUGGGGAAUCUUCCGCAUGGGGCGAAAGCCUGACGGGGAAACGCCGCGGAAGUGAUGAGGUUCUUCGGAUCGAAAAACUCGGUUAUUAGGGAAGCGGUACCUAAUCAGAAAGCCACGGCUAACUACGUGCCAGCAGCCGCGGUAAUUC